GACGAACGCUGGCGGCGUGCUUAACACAUGCAAGUCGAACGGAAAGGCCUCUUUCGGGGGGUACUCGAGUGGCGAACGGGUGAGUAACACUUGAGUAACCUGCCCUUGACUUUGGGAUAACUUCAGGAAACUGGGGCUAAUACCGGAUAGGAGCUCCUGCUGCAUGGUGGGGGUUGGAAAGUUUCGGCGGUUGGGGAUGGACUCGCGGCUUAUCAGCUUGUUGGUGGGGUAGUGGCUUACCAAGGCUUUGACGGGUAGCCGGCCUGAGAGGGUGACCGGCCACAUUGGGACUGAGAUACGGCCCAGACUCCUACGGGAGGCAGCAGUGGGGAAUAUUGCACAAUGGGUGGAAGCCUGAUGCAGCAACGCCGUGUGCGGGAUGACGGCCUUCGGGUUGUAAACCGCUUUCGCUCAUGACGAAGCUUUGUGUGACGGUAGUGGGUAAAGAAGCACCGGCUAACUACGUG
rnacentral:rRNA from 1 species